GUGUUAUGUGGCAUUUGGCUUGAAAAUGCACCUGGCACCUGAUUGUGGAAGACAAAAGGAAAAUUGCAAUAAUAAGUCCUAACAACUCUAAUAGAUUUUUAAAUAAAUUACAAUUAAAGAUUAACAAAUAUGAUCAAACAUUGAUAAAAUUCAAUCAAAAUUUCAAAAGAAUUAUGUAAGAAACACAAAGUAUUUAUAGAUAUCUUUUAAAGAAUCAUAAUGAAAUAACAUAGAAACUAAAAAAAAUACUAAAAUAAAAACCUUAAUUAAAUCCUAGUAAAAACCUAAUCAAAUUCUAAUCAAAUCCUAAAUAAAUCUUAGUCAAAUCCUAAAAAAUCCUAAAAAAUCCUAAAUAAAUCUUAACAAAAUCUUAAACAAAUUCUAAACAAAUCCUAACUAAACCCUAAAUAAAUCCUAAUCAAAUCUUAAAUAAAUCCUAAUCAAAUCUUAAAAAAAUCCUAAUCAAAUUAUAAACAAAUCCUAAUCAAAUCCUAAAU
rnacentral:lncRNA from 1 species